CGUCUUGCAAUAUUUGUAUUGUACAUCAGUACAAAACAAUAUGCUUCAUAUGGUGUUUAUAUUUCCAUUGAUAUUCAAUGAAUAUGAUACCAGUUCCUGAACGGAAAAAACCCACCAUGUCUAGAGAGUAAUUAUGACGAAUCCAACAAUUGUAUUGGUGCAGUGCAAGAGGUAUGCGUAGUGAAUUACGAAGCGAUAAAUGACGCAGCGAGUAUCAACAGUAAUGAAUCCUCAAUCCGGUAUGUUUACCAACUACAGUAGUAAACUACAUAAGAAAUAUGCGUAGCUCGUGCUUGGAAUUUACCGAAAUAUGAAUACCAUCAAGAUAUUGAAGGCGAAUACAAUAAUAAGGAACAUUUUUACACCGUAAUAUGUUCUGCUGGUCCCUAUGAAUUCAAAGGCGUAGGUAAAACCAAUAAAAUCGCAAAAAAAGCAAGCUGCUCAAUGUUGUUAGCAAAUUAAUUUGAAUCAACACACUUCUACGUCUCGUAGCAAUAUCACACAUGAAAUAGUUGAUAAAUCUAAGCUAAACACAAUAACACCAACAAAUAUCGAAGUAUUGUGAUGUUCUUAAGUUUAUAGAUCUAAACUUUAACGUCUUUAACCAAUUAUUAUCAUCUAAAAAAAAUAUAUACAAAAACUAAAAAAAAAAUGCAAUUCAUUGGAUGAACUUAAUAUGAGUGCUUUUAAAUUGUUGACAAAACUUGCAAAUGAAGAAGUCUUCAGUAUCACGAACAUACCGUAUCAAAAAGAUAGUUGCGAAGUUGAGAUGACUUUGAAAAUAGCAAUAAUUAAACCGGUCAUGAUCUGCUUAAACAGAGGAAAAACAUAUGAAGAGGCUAAAAAUACAGCUGCCAAAACUGCAUUAAAGAUAUCGGAGCAUGUAGCAAAAUCGGGAAAACAUCGGACCGGCCUGAUAAAUAUACACAUCAUUUACCGAGAGACCCAACAAUUACCGCAAUAACUACUACAGAAGCAUGUUUUUCACGCAAGUAUGUAUCUAAAAAAUAAGGGACGGAGAAUCUGAAAAAAAACGAUAAGAUAGCAAAGAGAAAUAAGUGGGUAUAUACUGGAAUACCUAAAAAGAAGUAAAGCAGCAAUCAAGGAAAAAGAACAUCGAGCAGUUUCCAUCAACAAAAACACAAGCAAUAAGACAAGGAACCCCGACAAAGUGAAAAACAAAAUUGAGCCAAAGAGCAGAAUAUUUUUUUAUUUUUUGAUACAUGACACCUAUUACUAUAUAACGCGCUAUUCAACUCAAACAAUCGAAGCAAUUACCAAUUGAGUCAGCAUGUAAAGGAAAUGUAAGAAGAUAUAACCUGGUACUUGAUAUAUUGAUGUGAUUCUAUUAAAAAAUGAAAAUCCUUAUAAUUAAUCAAAAUUCUGUCUAUUACUAUAUAACGCACUAUUCAACUCAAACAAUCGAAGCAAUUACCAAUUGAGUCAGCAUGUAAAGGAAAUGUAAGAAGAUAUAACCUGGUACUUGAUAUAUUGAUGUGAUUCUAUUAAAAAAUGAAAAUCCUUAUAAUUAAUUAAAAUUCUGUGUAAGUAUACUGAUACAAUUUUUAUUUUGUUAAUAAAAAUCUCAGUAUUCAUUUCACACAUUUUAAAUUUUAUCCACUAGAAUCAGAUAUUAACCUAAUCAGAUAUAUAUUAUGUUUUUAUGAGAAUUUUGUGUAGGCUGAGUCAUCGUAAUCGUUAAAUUAAUAGAGUAUCGUCCUAAUGAUAUUAUAAUGGUAAUGAACAACGGCCAUAUUUUUGCUCAUUUACAAGAGUG